AACGAACGCUGGCGGCAUGCCUAACACAUGCAAGUCGAACGAGACCUUCGGGUCUAGUGGCGCACGGGUGCGUAACGCGUGGGAACCUGCCCUUAGGUUCGGAAUAACUCCCCGAAGGGGGUGCUAAUACCGGAUAAUGUCUUCGGACCAAAGAUUUAUCGCCUUUGGAUGGGCCCGCGUUGGAUUAGCUAGUUGGUAGGGUAAAAGCCUAUCAAGGCGACGAUCCAUAGCUGGUCUGAGAGGAUGAUCAGCCACACUGGGACUGAGACACGGCCCAGACUCCUACGGGAGGCAGCAGUGGGGAAUAUUGGACAAUGGGCGAAAGCCUGAUCCAGCAAUGCCGCGUGAGUGAUGAAGGCCUUAGGGUUGUAAAGCUCUUUUACCCGGGAUGAUAAUGACAGUACCGGGAGAAUAAGCUCCGGCUAACUCCGUG
rnacentral:rRNA from 1 species